rnacentral:rRNA from 1 species
AUUAAACGCUGGCGGCAUGCCUUACACAUGCAAGUCGAACGGCAGCACGGGGGCAACCCUGGUGGCGAGUGGCGGACGGGUGAGUAAAGCAUCGGAACGUAUCCUGGAGUGGGGGGAUAACGUAGCGAAAGUUACGCUAAUACCGCAUAUUCUGUGAGCAGGAAAGCAGGGGAUCGCAAGACCUUGCGCUCUGGGAGCGGCCGAUGUCGGAUUAGCUAGUUGGUGGGUAAAGGCCUACCAAGGCGACGAUCCGUAGCGGGUCUGAGAGGAUGAUCCGCCACACUGGGACUGAGACACGGCCCAGACUCCUACGGGAGGCAGCAGUGGGGAAUUUUGGGACAAUGGGCGCAAGCCUGAUCCAGCCAUGCCGCGUGAGUGAAGAAGGCC